rnacentral:rRNA from 1 species
CAGUAGCCACGGGAAUACGUAGGGUGCGAGCGUUAAUCGGAAUUACUGGGCAUAAAGCGUGCGCAGGCGGUUAUGUAAGACAGUUGUGAAAUCCCCGGGCUUAACUUGGGAACUGCAUUUGAAACUGGCAAGCUAGAGUCUUGUAGAGGGGGGUAGAAUUCCAGGUGUAGCGGUGAAAUGCGUAGAGAUCUGGAGGAAUACCGGUGGCGAAGGCGGCCCCCUGGACAAAGACUGACGCUCAGGUGCGAAAGCGUGGGGAGCAAACAGGAUUAGAGACCCCAGUAGUCCCUGUCUCUUAUAC